rnacentral:rRNA from 1 species
CCUACGGGUAGCAGCAGUGGGGAAUAUUGGACAAUGGGCGAAAGCCUGAUCCAGCCAUGCCGCGUGUGUGAAGAAGGCCUUCGGGUUGUAAAGCACUUUCAGUGGGGAAGAAAGCCUUGGGGCUAAUACCCUCGAGGAAGGACAUCACCCACAGAAGAAGCACCGGCUAACUCCGUGCCAGCAGCCGCGGUAAUACGGAGGGUGCGAGCGUUAAUCGGAAUUACUGGGCGUAAAGCGCGCGUAGGCGGUCUGAUAAGCCGGUUGUGAAAGCCCCGGGCGCAACCUGGGAACGGCAUCCGGAACUGUCAGGCUAGAGUGCAGGAGAGGAAGGUAGAAUUCCCGGUGUAGCGGUGAAAUGCGUAGAGAUCGGGAGGAAUACCAGUGGCGAAGGCGGCCUUCUGGACUGACACUGACGCUGAGGUGCGAAAGCGUGGGUAGCAAACAGGAUUAGAUACCCGAGUAGUC